rnacentral:rRNA from 1 species
UACAGAGGUCUCAAGCGUUGUUCGGAUUCAUUGGGCGUAAAGGGUGCGUAGGUGGCGCGGUAAGUCGGGUGUGAAAUCUCGGAGCUUAACUCCGAAAUUGCAUUCGAUACUGCCGUGCUUGAGGACUGGAGAGGAGACUGGAAUUCAUGGUGUAGCAGUGAAAUGCGUAGAGAUCAUGAGGGAAGACCAGUGGCGAAAGGCGGGUCUCUGGACAGUAACUGACGCUGAGGAGCGAAAGCGUGGGGAGCGAACAGG